rnacentral:lncRNA from 1 species
UGACUUUUGCUCUUCUUGCUUUAACAGUGAAAUAUGAGAGGCUCAAAAUCAGCUGCAUUGGGGUUGCACCAGGACAAUGACACUGUUAAUUCUAAUCCAUGAUCUGUGAUGCAAAUCAUGAAGCGUUCUGCCUGUGAGUGAAUUCAGCUUUCCCAAUCUCCUCAGCUCCUCAGUAAGAUACAGGACUGAAAACAAAGACAUCCAAACCUUGAGCCAUUUAGAAGAAGCCAAAAUCUGUGCCAGAGGUUUGUCUGUUGGGUUUACUCAUGGCUUCAGGUACGCUUCUUUCCCUGGGUUGUUUAGCAUUUCAGAGGCCCUC